rnacentral:rRNA from 1 species
CCUANGGGUGGCAGCAGUGGGGAAUUUUGGACAAUGGGGGCAACCCUGAUCCAGCCAUUCCGCGUGAGUGAAGAAGGCCUUCGGGUUGUAAAGCUCUUUUGUUCGGGACGAAACGGUUUCACCUAAUACGUGAGACUACUGACGGUACCGGAAGAAUAAGCACCGGCUAACUACGUGCCAGCAGCCGCGGUAAUACGUAGGGUGCGAGCGUUAAUCGGAAUUACUGGGCGUAAAGCGUGNACAGGCGGUUUUAUAAGCCAGAUGUGAAAGCCCCGGGCUCAACCUGGGAAUGGCAUUUGGGACUGUAAGGCUGGAGUAUGGCAGAGGAGACUAGAAUUCCUGGUGUAGCAGUGAAAUGCGUAGAUAUCAGGAGGAAUACCGAUGGCGAAGGCAGGUCUCUGGGCCAAUACUGACGCUCAUGCACGAAAGCGUGGGGAGCAAACAGGAUUAGAUACCCGANUAGUC